rnacentral:rRNA from 1 species
UGGGGAAUCUUGCACAAUGGGGUAAACCCUGAUGCAGCGACGCCGCGUGAGCGAUGAAGCCCCUCGGGGUGUAAAGCUCUUUCGACAGGAACGAUGAUGACGGUACCUGAAGAAUAAGCUGCGGCUAACUACGUGCCAGCAGCCGCGGCACUACGUAGGCAGCAAGCGUUGUCCGGAAUUACUGGGCGGAAAGGGUGCGUAGGCGGGAAAUUAAGUCAGUUGGGAAAACCCCGGGCUCAACCUGGGGGU